rnacentral:rRNA from 1 species
UGGGGAAUAUUGGACAAUGGGCGAAAGCCUGAUCCAGCCAUGCCGCGUGUGUGAAGAAGGUCUUCGGAUUGUAAAGCACUUUAAGUUGGGAGGAAGGGCAUUAACCUAAUACGUUAGUGUUUUGACGUUACCGACAGAAUAAGCACCGGCUAACUCUGUGCCAGCAGCCGCGGUAAUACAGAGGGUGCAAGCGUUAAUCGGAAUUACUGGGCGUAAAGCGCGCGUAGGUUGUUUGUUAAGUUGGAUGUGAAAUCCCCGGGCUCAACCUGGGAACUGCAUUCAAAACUGACUGACUAGAGUAUGGUAGAGGGUGGUGGAAUUUCCUGUGUAGCGGUGAAAUGCGUAGAUAUAGGAAGGAUCACCAGUGGCGAAGGCGACCACCUGGACUAAUACUGACACUGAGGUGCGAAAGCGUGGGGAGCAAACA